CUAGGUUAAGUUGUAUAUAGUUUGUUAACUUUGUGUUUGGUUGAGAUGCAUGCAGACAUAUCUUCAUUGAAGAGGCUUAUUUUGCAAAGCUUGUGUCUUUUUUAGGUUGAGGUCUCUGGUUUGGAGUAAAAAUGGUGAUGGCUUACAGUAGUUUGGAGACCUCUAAAUGGUGUCGUCUCUUGGGUUUAGGAAUUGGCUUCUGCAUAACAAGAGGAUUUCCUUGUAAUUUGGAUGUUUUCAAAUCUCUGGGAAAUGCUUCUACACACGGUCAGGAAGGCCUUCUUGAUAGUUUAUAGUGCCAGAGAGCUUUGCGGCAACCCCUUUUAUCGAUGCUGAGUUGGGUUCUUAUUCUGAUGAGUAUCUAGAAAGCCUACUUUAUUACAGAUGGGCAGCUGUGCUUGGAUGGGCGUUGCUCCGUAGUUAUUGAUGGUGUUUGGCUUCAAUUUCCGUUUAGCUCCUCUAGUGGUGACAAGUGGUGACAGUGGACAGUAGUAAUGUUUUUGUUAAGAGAUUAAUCCCGUUUUCUAGGGCUUUAGAAUCUGAUUUAGGGGUCUGAUUUCUAGUUUGAAUUGGGCUAAUUCAAAUUGAUUUGUUUUGGGCUUUUAGCCAGUCAUAAUUUAGUGGGCUUUCUUUCUCUUUAGUUUUUUAUACUAAACUUUAAGUUGUAUCUUUACCCAUUUGGGCUUUUAAAUGCAAAAUAGUAUUUAAAAAAUUAAAAAAAAAAAAGCCCUCCCGGCCACUGGCCGGAACAGGCCGUGGCUCUAUCUACCCCUCUCCGAUUUCUGACUGUCCGCCAUGGUGCACCGCUACGUGGCCGAGGCGAUGAAAACCAAUUAGCUGACAGGAGACGCCACCCAUUCCUAACUAAUAAUCUCUUCAGGUGAAGUUCAAUUCCUUAAGUGGGUUUGAGUCUGCAACUGGAUUUGCAUAUCUCGGUUGUUUGUUUCGCUGGAUCAUCCCCGACCAAAACCUUCGCUGAUGGAAGCAAUGCCACUAGUGAUUCAGAAUGUCGAGCAGGGAUACUCUGGUUUUCACCAAUUGCCUAUAAAUGCAUUCCAGCUCUUCUUCUGCCUCUUGAAUGCUUGACUCAAAUGCUUCCAAUCCUUUAAGAAGGUUUUGAAGUUGUGAAAGACAGAUGUCUUUGCUUGACUUCAGGGUAAUCAAUUCAGCAUCAAUCUUCUCUGCUUCAUUGACUCCAUUUUCUACUUCGCAUGAGACACGCUUGGUUUGCAAUAAUUUUGAGAUGACGGACCACCCAGAGGGCAUUGAUUUUGCCUUUGGCUGAGAAAUGAAAGAUAAGAUUGACUCAAAUACCGCAAGACUGAUUUCUUGAACUCCUCUUAGAAUGCUAAUCAUGUUCAUCAAAUUGGAGUUACCAUCCAAAACUGCUGUUAAUCUGAUGAACUUCAAUAAAAUAUUUACAUCCAUGAGCAAGAUGCAGCUUCCUUCCCAGACAAACAAGAACAUGCACAUUAUUGUUCUUUUCAUAUAUUUUCUGCAUACCAAUGGAUAUUGAGACUCUUGAGCAACUCUGGCUGUGGUGCCUGGUGUCUGGGAGCAGAAGCCUCAGGACUGCAAUAAAAAUACUCACAUCCACGAGUUGCGGGAUGCAGUUACAUUAAUAAUUGAUGAGGCUCUUGAUCAAAACUCCCUGACUGGUGUCCAGGAGCAUUUAGAAUCUUGACAGCCUUGGUUUCUUUCAAGUUCAGACACAGUCCAUGAAUGAUGAAGAUCAAUAAAUUAAUCUGAUGAACUUCAAUAAAAUAUUUACAUGCACGAGCAAGAUGCAGCUUCUUUCCCAGACAAACAAGAACCCGCACAUUAUUGUUCUUUUCAUAUAUUUUCUGCAUGCCAAUGGAUAUUGAGACUCUUGAGCAACUCUGGCGGAGAUGCAUGGUGUCUGGGAGCAGCAUAAAUAAUUAGUUUAAAUGAUCAAGAAAAGAGGCUAUUGGUUUGAGACAAAAUGCAACAGCAUAUACAAAUUUGUGCACAAAAUCAUUUGAUAGUGAAGCAUAAAAUCAUCAAGACAGGAUAUAUAUUGCAAGAGAGAAGAUGGACAGAAAACUUGGGGAAAUUUUUUUUGAGAGAAGUAUAUUAGUGUUGACUUGGAUUUACUUGUGUAUGAAUUAUAUAUACAAGGAACAAAAUUGUGUUCAGGGGUUGAUGGAAGUAACACCCAUUAAUGAUUCAGAACAUUGAGAAGGGAAACUCUGGUUCUCACCAAUUGUCUAUAAAUACGCUCAAAUUCCUCUUCUGCUUUUUGAAGACUGAACUCCAAUGCCGCCAAUCCUUUCAAAACAUUUUGUACCUGAUUGAUGUCUUUGCUCGACUUCAAGAAAGCAAUGCAGCAUCAAUCUUCUCCACGUCAUUGGCUUCAACUUCCCCAUUAUUGGAUUGUAAUGAUUUUGAUACAAUAGACCAGCCAGAGAGCUUUGUUUUUGCCUUUGUCUGGGAAAUGAAUGAUAAGAUGGACUCGAACACAGAAAGACCAAUUUCCUCA